rnacentral:lncRNA from 1 species
GAACCCCGGGCGAUUUAAAUUGAGCCCCGCUAACGUUGACUAUCUUCAAGAACUGCUUUUGGAUCAAGUAUUCGCUUCUCCUUGCUUCUUUCUCGCGUUAUUCCUCUUGAGUUUUGUUACCUUUCGGCUGGAAAUGGACCACUUGCCGCUGGUGUGGCAGUGGUUGGAGCAUGACCAUGUUGAUGAUGAGCUGUCACUGGCCCAUUCCAAGAGGUUUUCUGGAUAGAAAUUCCUUUUCAGGGAGAUUAGAGGGACGGAACCUUUUGACGUAUUCUUUAUGACAGGAGGGUUUCAUGCCUAUAAUCCCAGCACUUGGAAGACGGAGAUAAAAGGGUCGCCGUGAGUUUGAGGACAGCCUGCACUACAGAAAACUACUUCCCCAGAACGGAGGUGUGUGAAAUGUCUUUGUCCCCCUAGGAAGUGUGGGAGUCACCACUGAGCCUUGUCAGGCCAGUUUGCAUACUUGAAGCUUCCUGCUUCCUCCCCGGCCCAGCUCAAAGAUGAAGUUCUCUAUCACUAAGUCUACCUGUUUCCCUAUCCCAGAUGAGGGGGCUUCAAAACACUUAGAGUAAACCCUUGACUUUUAGGGAUUUGCUGCUACAACUGUAAUAAUGAAAUGACUGGAAUUACCACUUUCUAUCCGACUAAAGAAAGGAAUCUGAAACUCUGCCCUACAGUGAUCUGAGCAUGAGAGCAUUUAUUGAAAAAAAUUUUUCCCAUCUGAGACCUCCAAUUUACAGAAGAGCCAGAAGCCUCUAUGGGCUUUCUUCCCUACUGACAUCAACACCCAGCCUAUUGAAAAAAAACUUAAAACUUUGGUUGAGGUGGGAGGUGGUGAUAAUGGUACAGACUUAAUAAAAAUGUGGUUUCCAGUUCCUGAAGAGGAAAUACAGUACUGUUGAAAUCGGUU